rnacentral:lncRNA from 1 species
GAGAGUUUGGAUUUGAUAUCCCGCCUUUCACUCCCUUUAAGGAGUCUCAAAGCGGCUAACAUUCUCCUUUCCCUUCCUCCCCCACAACAAACACUCUGUGAGGUGAGUGGGGCUGAGAGACUUCAAAGAAGUGUGACUGGCCCAAGGUCACCCAGCAGCUGCCUGUGGAGGAGCGGAGACGCGAACCCGGUUCCCCAGAUUACGAGACUACCGCUCUUAACCACUAC